rnacentral:rRNA from 1 species
UACGUAGGGUGCAAGCGUUGUCCGGAAUUAUUGGGCGUAAAGAGCUCGUAGGCGGUGUGUCGCGUCGGCCGUGAAAUCCCGAGGCUCAACCCCGAGCCUGCAGUCGAUACGGGCAGACUAGAGUGCUGUAGGGGAGACUGGAAUUCCUGGUGUAGCGGUGAAAUGCGCAGAUAUCAGGAGGAACACCGGUGGCGAAGGCGGGUCUCUGGGCAGUAACUGACGCUGAGGAGCGAAAGCGUGGGGAGCAAACAGG